GAUGAAGACUGUGAUGACAUGAUGGAUGCAUUUACAGCAGUUCCUGAUCCAUAUGAUUGUGUCUAUGAGAAUAUACCUGUAAGUACUCACAUGCUGGCACCUAAACCUGAUUGCAAGCAUUGUGGUGCAAAGAGGUUCCAGUAUGAGGCAAAUGGAUUUUGUUGCCGGUCUGGAAAAGUUAAGUUGGCACACUUAGAACCACCCUUGGAACUUAAAAUGCUAUACACAAGUUCAGAUCCCAAUGCCGUGCAUUUUAGGGAUAACAUUCGAUACUUCAAUGGACACUUUUCAUUCACUACCCUUGGAGUCAGUCUGGACAACAGAUACACAAACAUGAAGUCAGGAGUCUAUACGUUUCGAGCUCACGGUCAGAUUUACCACAACAUCUUCUCAUUUGGUCCAACUCAAGAUGGGCCAAAGCAUUUGGAACUCUACUUCUAUGAUGACGAUCCCGGUUUACAACAUAGGUUUCGGCGCUCCCCGAACCUAGACCGAGAUGUCAUUCGAAGGCUUGUUGACAUCCUGAAGGAUAAUCCUUAUUCCGAAACGUUCAGGAAUCUAGGUGGAGUCGAUGACCUUGAGGAAUACCGUAUUGAAUUGAACACCGACAUGAGGUUGGACCAACGGAGGUAUAAUGUGCCUAUAUCAUCGGAGGUUGCAGCUAUUUGGGUUGAGGAUAGUGAACUCUGUAAGUACUUUGAGCGUAGCAUAGUAUUGUUCGGCAACGACAACAAGAGAUAUAGCACCCAACCAUAUUAUGGAUGUUAUGAUCCGUUGUCUUACCCUUUAUUCUUCCCAAGAGGGGAGAUUGGUUGGCAUCCUGAAAUCCCAAAGAAAGGUGUCAGCUUGAAUGAGAUGCUUCAGUCCCGUCGCAGUGGUCGACAGAGUCUAGGUAAUUCAUAUAACGAAAAUAACAUGUGUUAA
rnacentral:rRNA from 1 species